GGAAGAUGAGGACUCAUUGCCUCCUGAGGUUAGCGGCGGAUGGGUGAGUAACGGGUAGGCUGCCUGCCCUCCGGACAGGGAUAACUACCGGAAACGGUAGCUCAUACCGGAAAAUUUAUUACAUAGCAUUAUGUGAUAAUGAAAGACGGAGCAAUCUGUCACUUGGGGAUGGGCCUGCGGCGCACUAGCUGGUUGGUGGGGUAACGGCCCACGAAGGCAACCAUAGCCAGCCUACCUGGGUGGGUGAACAGCCUGGGACUGACACACAGCCCGCCCACACACCGGAGGGAGGCAUCAGGAAUGAAUCUUCCUGGACGGGCGACUGACUGACCGACCAACGCCGCGCGAUUGAUGCCUGUUUUUCGAUCGUCUCUCUUGUCAGGGAAGGACAAAUACCUCAAGACUAACUGCUCCUUGAGUGACGGUACUUGAAAAGAAACCCCCGGCUAACUACCAGCCAGCGGCCGCGGUCAUACGUAGGGGGCGUUAUUUGUCCGGAAUUAUUGUGCGUAAAGCGCGCGCAGGCUGUUCUUUCUGUCUGGUGUUCAAACCUGGUGGCUCAACUUCGGGUCUCACUGGAAACUGGGGAACUUUACUGCAGAAAACGAGAGUGUAAUUCCACGUGUGGCGGUGAAAUGCGAAAAUAUGAGGGAGCACACCAGUGGCGAAGGCGACUCUUUGGGCUGUAACUGACGAUGAGGCGCGACAGCGUGGGGAGCAAACAGGAUUAGAUACCCUCGUUGUCCACGCCGUAAACAAUGAUUACUAGGUGUUAGGGGGUGCUACACCCUUGGUGCCGAAGUUAACACCUUUAGCAUUCCGCCUGGGGAGUACGGUCGCCAGACUGAAACUCAAAGGAAUUGAAGGGGACCCCCACCAGCAGUGGAGUCUGUGGUUUAAUUUGGAGCAACGCGGAGAACCUUACCAAGUUUUGACAUCCCUCUGAAUAUGCGAGAGAUAGAAGCGGCCCUCGGGAGAGAGGAAACAGGUGGUGCUUGGUGGUCGUCAUCUCCUGUCGUCAGAUGUUGGGUUAAGUCCCCCAACAAGCGCAACCCCCGAUUUCAGUUGCCAGCAGGUAUGGCUGGGCCCUUCAGAAUGAACGCCGGUGACAAACCGGAGGAAGGCGGGGAAGAAGUCAAAUUAUCCUGCCCCUUAUGACCUGGGCUACCCCCCUACUACCAUGGGUGGUAAAACAGGGAGCGAAGCCCCGAGGGGAGCCCAUCCUAUAAAAGCCAGUCUCAGUUCGGAUUGCAGGCUGCAACUAGCCUGCCGAAGUAGGAAUGCUGUUAUCGCGGAUCAGCCGGCUACGGCUGGCCCC
rnacentral:rRNA from 1 species